AUGAACGCUGGCGGCGUGCUUAACACAUGCAAGUCGAACGAUUAAGACGGCUUCGGCCGUGUAUAGAGUGGCGAACGGGUGAGUAACACGUGACCAACCUGCCCCGCGCUCCGGGACAACCGCUGGAAACGGCGGCUAAUACCGGAUGCUCCGGGGAGGCCCCAUGGCCUCCCCGGGAAAGCCCUGACGGCGCGGGAUGGGGUCGCGGCCCAUUAGGUAGACGGCGGGGUAACGGCCCACCGUGCCCGCGAUGGGUAGCCGGACUGAGAGGUCGACCGGCCACAUUGGGACUGAGAUACGGCCCAGACUCCUACGGGAGGCAGCAGUGGGGAAUUUUGCGCAAUGGGGGAAACCCUGACGCAGCAACGCCGCGUGCGGGACGAAGGCCUUCGGGUUGUAAACCGCUUUCAGCAGGGAAGACAUAGACGGUACCUGCAGAAGAAGCUCCGGCUAACUACGUGCCAGCAGCCGCGGUAAUACGUAGGGGGCGAGCGUUAUCCGGAUUCAUUGGGCGUAAAGCGCGCGUAGGCGGCCGCCUAAGCGGAACCUCUAAUCCCGGGGCUCAACCUCGGGCCGGGUUCCGGACUGGGCGGCUCGAGUGCGGUAGAGGCAGGCGGAAUUCCCGGUGUAGCGGUGGAAUGCGCAGAUAUCGGGAAGAACACCGAUGGCGAAGGCAGCCUGCUGGGCCGCCACUGACGCUGAGGCGCGAAAGCUGGGGGAGCGAACAGGAUUAGAUACCCUGGUAGUCCCAGCCGUAAACGAUGGACGCUAGGUGUGGGGGGACCAUCCCCCCGUGCCGCAGCCAACGCAUUAAGCGUCCCGCCUGGGGAGUACGGCCGCAAGGCUAAAACUCAAAGGAAUUGACGGGGGCCCGCACAAGCAGCGGAGCAUGUGGCUUAAUUCGAAGCAACGCGAAGAACCUUACCAGGGCUUGACAUCUAACAAACCUUUGUGAAAGCAGAGGGUGCUCUUCGGAGAAUGUUAAGACAGGUGGUGCACGGUUGUCGUCAGCUCGUGUCGUGAGAUGUUGGGUUAAGUCCCGCAACGAGCGCAACCCCCGUCCCGUGUUGCCAGCAUUCAGUUGGGGACUCGCGGGAGACUGCCGGCGUCAAGCCGGAGGAAGGUGGGGACGACGUCAAGUCAUCAUGCCCCUUAUGCCCUGGGCUGCACACGUGCUACAAUGGCCGGUACAGAGGGUUGCCACCCCGCGAGGGGGAGCGGAUCCCGGAAAGCCGGUCCCAGUUCGGAUCGCAGGCUGCAACCCGCCUGCGUGAAGUCGGAGUUGCUAGUAAUCGCGGAUCAGCAUGCCGCGGUGAAUACGUUCCCGGGCCUUGUACACACCGCCCGUCACACCACCCGAGUCGUCUGCACCCGAAGCCGCCGGCCGAACCCUUCUGGGGCGGAGGCGUCGAAGGUGUGGAGGGUAAGGGGGGUG
rnacentral:rRNA from 1 species